rnacentral:rRNA from 1 species
CCUACGGGUGACUGCAGUGAGGAAUAUUGGUCAAUGGGCGAAAGCCUGAUGGAGCAACGCCGCGUGCAGGAUGAAGGCCUUCGGGUUGUAAACUGCUUUUAUAAGCGAGAAAUAUGAUGGUAACUUAUGAAUAAGGAUCGGCUAACUACGUGCCAGCAGCCGCGGUCAUACGUAGGAUCCGAGCAUUAUCCGGAGUGACUGGGUGUAAAGAGUUGCGUAGGUGGCAUAAUAAGUAGCUAGUGAAAUCUGGUGGCUCAACCAUUCAGACUAUUAGCUAAACUGUUAAGCGCGAGACCGUUAGGGGUAACGGGAAUUUCUAGUGUAGGAGGGAAGUCCGUAGAUAUUAGAAGGAACACCAAUGGCGUAGGCAGGUUACUGGGACGGUUCUGACACUAAGGCACGAAAGCGUAGGGAGCAAACGGGAUUAGAUACCCUUGUAGUC